UGAACGGCUGUCCCGGCUGAGGACGUUUGCCGCUACAGGGGUCUGGCCUACUGAUGCUGGGAAUAGACCAGCCCCUAGGCAAAAGAGAUGGCAUGAGCUCUAUCUUAAGUUAUUCAAACCACGGUUCGGUGGCUCACAUACUGCAACACUGAAGCCCAACCUCAGUAUGGCCAGGAAACCUUCUCAGGUCGUUUCCAGCACUGCCACCACGUCAUCUGGCAGU